rnacentral:rRNA from 1 species
UGCGUAGGCGGCUUCUUAAGUCGGAUGUGAAAUCCCUGAGCUUAACUUAGGAAUUGCAUUCGAUACUGGGAAGCUAGAGUAUGGGAGAGGAUGGUAGAAUUCCAGGUGUAGCGGUGAAAUGCGUAGAGAUCUGGAGGAAUACCGAUGGCGAAGGCAGCCAUCUGGCCUAAUACUGACGCUGAGGUACGAAAGCAGUGGGAGCAAACA